CAGCCCUUGAGGAGUCCGGCGCUUGCUUGGCUGCCACAUGAAAGUCAGUGCGGGGGGGCAUCAUGCUUAAGUCUUUCUCAGCUUGACCUCUCUUUGCAGAAACCAGGCUCUGUGUUCUGAGGGGUAGAUCAGGAAGGGAAUGUGAUAUGUAAUGAGUCAUGGUGUGUCGCAGUGGAUAGCACAGUUUCGAAUAAGUGCAAUAUUGGCAUAUAAACAUGAGGGAGACUUUGAGGUUGGGGUGAGCAGGGCUGACCCCGUGUGUGUGUGUGUGUGUGUGUGUGUGUGUGUGUGUGUAUGUGUAACUUGGGGACAGGAUAGGGUAGCAUCUUUACAUCUUUACAUGUCAUUGGCCUGGAAUAGGGGGUCCUGAAGGGUUUGUCGUAAGAAAGAGAAAGUGCUCAUUGCUGCAAGGGGAGCACAGCCGGGUUCUGAGAGGCAAAACACUUCCCUCACUUCCCACCCAAGAGUUUCGCCUGUUCUCUCGACCCUCUGAGGUGUGCAUUGGUGUCACUCACUGGCCACCAUUCCAGCUCUUAAUUCCUCUGCCUUUUGUGCUGGCCUUUGGGGCUCCCCUGAGGAUGACUGGUUCUCAGGUUGCCCCUGGAGGAAUGGGUGGAGUUGUAAGAUCAGGAAUAAAGCUAGAGAGGGAGGACCAAGGGGAAGUCACUGAUGCAGCCGCCGUCUAGCCCAUCCCACCCCGAUUGAGAGGUCGCUUUUUCCUGUUGAACAUGUUGGAUAGUGGAAUGUGUUAUAAGAAGUGAUAUGUGUGGCUUCUUGUCAUUGCAGGAUUGUCAGCUGACCUCUGUCCUGUGUGCCCAGUGGCCCCAGGUGACGUGUCUUCAAGAAGAGGCUGAGCUGCGGUGCUUGUAAGAGUCAUGUGCUGUUCCUGGGGCUUGGAUGAUGUAGGGGAAGCAAGGUGAAAGUGGUAUCCCGUGGUUCCACGUUCUGUCCUGCUGUGGGGCUGUCCCUCACAUGCUUUCAGUGGCUGUUGCAGAGGAAGAGCCUCCGGAAAUCUGCGUGGGUAAAGUCUCAGCCUUAGAUCCAAGGACAGUCCAAGGAAGUCCUAAGACCAUGGAGUUGGUGAUCUGGGAUCUGGGUUUGCUGAUAUUUCUCACCGUGAAUCUCUUGGUGGUGUUUGUGGGCACGAGAGGGGCAGAGAAUGGAGAGUGAGGCUACCACAUGAAGCGUCACCAGAGCUGCUCCCUGCUGCCUGCUCAGAGCACCCCGGAUCCACUGUUCAAUCUGCACAAGAUUCGGGGUCCAGACAUGGGAGACUUCAGCUGCCUCAGAGGACCGUGGACAGGGAAGGCCAGCCUCGCAUCCCUCUGUCCAUGCCUGGAAUGACUUUAAUAACCAAGAGUUUUAUUUUUGAAUUUGUAGCUGUCGUUCACUUUUUACCCACCCAUUCAAUAAACCUUACAGAAUUGCUCCA
rnacentral:lncRNA from 1 species